UAGGGAAUCUUCGGCAAUGGGGGCAACCCUGACCGAGCAACGCCGCGUGAGUGAAGAAGGUUUUCGGAUCGUAAAGCUCUGUUGUAAGUCAAGAACGGGUGUGAGAGUGGAAAGUUCACACUGUGACGGUAGCUUACCAGAAAGGGACGGCUAACUACGUGCCAGCAGCCGCGGUAAUACGUAGGUCCCGAGCGUUGUCCGGAUUUAUUGGGCGUAAAGCGAGCGCAGGCGGUUUGAUAAGUCUGAAGUUAAAGGCUGUGGCUCAACCAUAGUUCGCUUUGGAAACUGUCAAACUUGAGUGCAGAAGGGGAG
rnacentral:rRNA from 1 species